UGGGGAAUUUUGGACAAUGGGCGCAAGCCUGAUCCAGCCAUACCGCGUGAGUGAAGAAGGCCUUCGGGUUGUAAAGCUCUUUCAGACGGAAAGAAACGGUUACGGCUAAUACCCGUGACUAAUGACGGUACCGUAAGAAGAAGCACCGGCUAACUACGUGCCAGCAGCCGCGGUAAUACGUAGGGUGCGAGCGUUAAUCGGAAUUACUGGGCGUAAAGCGUGCGCAGGCGGUUGUGUAAGUCAGAUGUGAAAUCCCCGGGCUCAACCUGGGAAUUGCAUUUGAGACUGCACGGCUAGAGUGUGUCAGAGGGGGGUAGAAUUCCACGUGUAGCAGUGAAAUGCGUAGAUAUGUGGAGGAAUACCGAUGGCGAAGGCAGCCCCCUGGGAUAACACUGACGCUCAUGCACGAAAGCGUGGGGAGCAAACAGGAUUAGAUACCCCAGUAGUCCCUGAGCGGGCUGGCAAGGCGCAU
rnacentral:rRNA from 1 species